CCUACGGGUGGCAGCAGUGGGGAAUAUUGCACAAUGGGGGAAACCCUGAUGCAGCGACGCCGCGUGAGUGAAGACGUAAUUCGUUAUGUAAAGCUCUAUCAGCAGGGAAGAAAAUGACGGUACCUGAGUAAGAAGCCGCGGCUAACUACUUGCCAGCAGCCGCGGGAACACGUAGGGGGCAAGCUUUAUCCGGAUUUACUGGGUGUAAAGGGAGCGUAGACGGCAGUGCAAGUCUGGAGUGAAAGGCGGGGGCUCAACCCCCGGACUGCUCUGGAAACUGUACGGCUGGAGUGCAGGAGAGGGAAGUGGAAUUCCCGGUGUAGCGGUGAAAUGCGUAGAUAUUAGGAGGAACACCAGUGGCGAAGGCGGGUUACUGGACUGUAACUGACGUUGAGGCUCGAAAGCGUGGGGAGCAAACGGGAUUAGAUACCCGGGUAGUC
rnacentral:rRNA from 1 species